AGCGAACGCUGGCGGCAGGCCUAACACAUGCAAGUCGAACGCACCGCAAGGUGAGUGGCAGACGGGUGAGUAACGCGUGGGAACGUGCCCUUCGGUUCGGAAUAACCCGGGGAAACUCGGGCUAAUACCGGAUACGUCCGUAAGGAGAAAGAUUUAUCGCCGAAGGAUCGGCCCGCGUCGGAUUAGCUAGUUGGUGAGGUAACGGCUCACCAAGGCGAUGAUCCGUAGCUGGUCUGAGAGGACGAUCAGCCACACUGGGACUGAGACACGGCCCAGACUCCUACGGGAGGCAGCAGUGGGGAAUAUUGGACAAUGGGCGCAAGCCUGAUCCAGCCAUGCCGCGUGAGUGAUGAAGGCCUUAGGGUUGUAAAGCUCUUUUAGCGGGGACGAUAAUGACGGUACCCGCAGAAAAAGCCCCGGCUAACUUCGUGCCAGCCGCCGCAGUAA
rnacentral:rRNA from 1 species